GGCGCGAUGGCCGAGUGGUUAAGGCGACAGAUUCGAAUGUGGUAUAUAAACAUAACGUUUCAUCUGUUCCGGUUUCCGGGCGCAGGUUCAAAUCCUGCUCGCGUCG